rnacentral:lncRNA from 1 species
CGCCAUAACACAAACAAUUCACAACAAGGAUGAACUUGUCACCAUAUAGCCCCAAUCUUUCUUACUCAUACAUGCCGGGGGCGUAGAGCCGUAGCAGGCACACCCGGACUUUCAUAAUCAGUCAUAGUGCCAGGGGCGUAGAGCCGUAGCAGGCACACCUGGACUCACAUAGGCUAUCAUGACAUACAAGGGCUAAUGGAUCAUUCAACAUUCAUCCACAUCAACAACAAAGUAUGCAAUGCAACAUAUUCGUGAAUUCUAAUGCAUACAACCUAAUAUUGCAUAGCAUAAUGAUGCAUGGGCAAUGCUUUAUGAUUCAUUCAUUUAUUCCUUUACUUUAAAGCUUAAGGGGUUGUUCC